rnacentral:snoRNA from 1 species
AAAACUAUGCUUUCGGGGAUCAUCUCUCUAGUGGGUGACUGGAGAAGGGUGGCUGUGAAAAGCUGGUCUUGCUAGCCACAAUGAGGAGUUAUAGGUGUUUCUUUCCAAAAAUAAAAGUAGCAGAGAGUGCUGUUCUAUAACAGCUGCAUUUUUCUGCUGUAAAAGCGUGUCUUGCUCUUCCUGAGAAAAGUAGGGGAAAGAAACAUAGUCUGAGUGGC